CAGUUACCUACCUGGCCUGAAGGGGAAGCCUGCAACUGAUUAUUUAAUCUUUUGGUACUCCACACAUCGUUUGCUCCACUCAUAUGUUUGACUAAAUGACUGGCAGUUGUUACACAAACGUGAUUGAUUAAGGGUGAAAACAACUCUUUCAAAAGGAUGAAUUAGUCUCCCCUGAGAUGAGGAGGGUCUCUGCUUUCUUCUGGGACAUUUGGAGACAAUGAAGAUGCAUUUACCCUGCAGCCAGGACAUUUCUAGUGUUGGGGACAGAUGUAAGGAUGUAAGGCUGUG